rnacentral:rRNA from 1 species
GACGAACGCUGGCGGCGUGCUUAACACAUGCAAGUCGAACGCUGAAGGCCUGGCUUUUGUUGGGUUGGAUGAGUGGCGAACGGGUGAGUAACACGUGAGUAACCUGCCCUCUUCUUUGGGAUAACGCCCGGAAACGGGUGCUAAUACUGGAUAUUCACUGAUCUUCGCAUGGGGGUUGGUGGAAAGGUUUGUUCUGGUGGGGGAUGGGCUCGCGGCCUAUCAGCUUGUUGGUGGGGUGAUGGCCUACCAAGGCUUUGACGGGUAGCCGGCCUGGGAGGGUGACCGGUCACAUUGGGACUGAGAUACGGCCCAGACUGCUGCGGGAGGCAGCAGUGGGGAAUAUUGCACAAUGGGCGAAAGCCGGAUGCAGCGACGCCGCGUGAGGGAUGGAGGCCUUCGGGUUGUAAACCUCUUUCGCUAAUGGUCAAGCCGCAACUGUGGGUUGUGGUGAGGGUAGUGGGUAAAGAAGCGCCGGCUAACUACGUG